rnacentral:rRNA from 1 species
GAUCCUGGCUCAGAUUGAACGCUGGCGGCAGGCCUAACACAUGCAAGUCGAGCGGAUGAAGAGAGCUUGCUCUCUGAUUCAGCGGCGGACGGGUGAGUAAUGCCUAGGAAUCUGCCUGAUAGUGGGGGACAACGUUUCGAAAGGAACGCUAGUACCGCAUACGUCCUACGGGAGAAAGCAGGGGACCUUCGGGCCUUGCGCUAUCAGAUGAGCCUAGGUCGGAUUAGCUAGUUGG